GAGGAAUUUGGGUUAGGGGAGAGAGUUGGAGAGAUAUCUAUGGGAGACCCUUCACUACUGUCAAACCAGUCCCCUCUAAUACUGAUGAAGAGAUUACUGUAUUAAUUGUUAAUCUGACACAACCGGAUGAAGCAUGGAGUCGAAUAUUAUGUAUAUGAGAUUGUUCUGUUGAAGGAUGGGAGGGAGGAAGGUGCUAAGCAAAUACUACUCACCUGUCCAACCUAGAGGCUUGAGGGGUCAAGCACACAUGAUGCUUCCCAUAAGUAGAUGUUAUUGGUGACAAUUAUUUAGGUAUUCGAAGGUUCUGAUUCUACUGGAAAUGUACAGAUGCUUUGUUGAGCUUACCAUCAAGACUGACCCACAAAAUUUCAACUAUAUUGUUGAGUCUGGUGCUACUAGAAAUUUUGAACCUGUGUGAAGAUGAU